ensembl:lncRNA
CAAUGAUCCAGGUAUCCUGACUACAAGGUUGAAAUAGGACCCUUCUGACCAACUGACUUGGGGGUGCUGUCUCUCCUAAGAUGCAGAAUGAUGUAUUAGUCUGCUAGGGGUGCCGUGACGAAGUUUCAUAAACUGGGUGGCUUAAGCCACAGAAAUGUAACAUCUCACAGCUUUGAGACCGGAAGUCUAAGAUCAGUGUGUCCACAGCGCCAUUUCCUUUUUAGGAUCACAAGGAGCGUCCACUCCUUCCCUCUCUCUUAGCUUCUGCCUCUUUGCUAGCAAUCUUUGCACGUGUGGAUGACCCACACUUAUCUCUGCCUUCAUGUUUUGUCCUUCACAUGAGUCUCUGUCCUAAUUUCCGAUUUUCAUAAGGACAUCAGUCACACCAGAUCAGGGCUCCAGUCUACCCCAGAAUGAUCGCAUCCUAACCAACUACAUCUCUGAUGACCCUAUUUCCAGAUAAGGCCACAUUCUGAGAUACCAGAGGCUAGGACUUCAACACCUUUUGUCCGACUGUUUGCGACCCCAUGGACUGCAGCACGCCAGGCUUCCCUGUCCUUCACAUCUCCCAGAGUCCACUCAAACUCAAGUUUAUUGAGUCGGUGAUGCCGUCCAACCAUCUCAUCCUCUGCUGUCCCCUUCUUCUCCUGCCUUCAAUCUUUCCCAGCAUCAGGGUCUUUUCCAAUGAGGGACUCUCAAGAGUCUUCUCCAACACCACAGUCCAACAUCUUUUGGGAGGACACAAUUCAACACUUAAUGGAUGGUAACUCUCUGUCACUUGUAUGUACCAGGCCCCUUACCAGGGAUGAUACUGGAGUGAGGUAAGUGAGACACUCAUCUGUAACUAAAUUGAGGGAGUGCAAAAUAACUCAGCAAUCAAGAUAAAUAAUAUGUUAAUAAUUCAUUUUAAGCAAUUAAAGUUAGAGAAAAAUUCCAUAAUGAGCAAAACAUCAACAUUUGAAAUAAAGGCAGCCCCUGACCCCACACUUGCCUGAUGGGGUCUCCGUCUCCUUCUGCUCCUGACCCUCAAUCCAUGGCCUCACUGCCCUCCUCAGAGAGAGCCCUGGCUUCUCUCUCUUUCAAAUUUACUUUUUCUUUUUAAUUGGAAAAUAACUGCUUUACAGUGUUGUGUUAGUUUCUGCUGUACGACAGCGUGAAUCAGCUUUAUGUGUAUGUGUAUCCCCUUCCUCUCGAGACUCCUUCCCGCCCUCCCUCGCCAGGCCAUCACAGAGCAGCAAGCUGAGCCCCCUGUGCUACACAGCAUCUCCCCACUAGCUGCUCCACACAUGGUGGGCGCACACACGCCAAUGCUGCUCCCAGUUUGCCCCUCCCUCUCCUCCCCUCCUGUGUCCGCAAGUCCCUCCUCUGUGUCUGCCUCUCUAUUCCUGCCCUGCAAACAGGCUCAUCUGCACUGUGUUUCUAGAUUCCAUAUACAUAUAUAUACGCAUUAAUAUACGAUGCUUGUUUUUCUUUUUCUGACUUACUUUACCUGGCCUCUCUUUACCCUUGAAUAUAAUCUCAUGAAAUUUAGAACACAACUUAGGACAUGUCUUUGGAUUUUGAAUUCAAAAGGCUCAUUUAACACUAGGCUUGAACCUUAUUCAUUUCCCACUUAAGUAAUUCUCUGCCACGUACCUUCCACAUCUCUCAGACUAUGAGUUUAAUUAGACUACCUUAACUCUACUACUAGGGAGUUUAUCUAGUUUAUCAAGACUAGCUUGAUAUCGCAGACCCACAUAAACACUUCCUGGAAGGGGUUUCUGCCUCUUUCUGAUGUCAUUUGGCCCUGUCAGCAUUGCUUCAUCUUUGGUGUUUUGUUUUCUUUAAAUACCAAACAAUGGUACACCCAGGAUUCUCUCUCCAUCCCUGGCCCCCUUCAGGGAUGGACUGGGUUGCUCUGGAGGUUUAUUUCUCCUCACUUAGAGGGUAAGAGCAAGUCUGGGGUGGGACAUCAGCCCACCCCAGACUUGCCAAACUCACCCACAUACGAGAGUUGGAAAGGAGAGAAACUUCCUCAAUUUCAGGGAAAGAAGAUAAGCACUGAGCAUCUUUCAGAGACUGACCAGGGUGAGCUGUUUUGCCAAAGUGACAGAGGAAAAAGGCAACAGCAGCAGAUAGGCAUGUGUUAUGAUAAGAGAAAGACACUCCUAUUGCUGACCCCGUAGUCUGUGACCUGUCUGUUGAUGGCUAAUUGGGCAGAUGAAGUGGGCACGUGGACAGUCUCUUGUCUCUGCUUCCAGACUUUUCCAGCCUCCAUCACCCUUAUGACUCCCAACUUCAUUCUGACUUAGCUUUUCUUAGCACAAGCCACAGCACCCACAUCUACACACCUACACCACAUUUACUUGCCAGCCACCUAAUUCAUCAGCUAAACACACUUGAAGUCCUUAUUUCUUUAGUGAAGUGUAGACU